rnacentral:rRNA from 1 species
AGUGAACGCUGGCGGUAGGCCUAACACAUGCAAGUCGAACGGCAGCACAGUAAGAGCUUGCACUUACGGGUGGCGAGUGGCGGACGGGUGAGGAAUACAUCGGAAUCUACUUUUUCGUGGGGGAUAACGUAGGGAAACUUACGCUAAUACCGCAUACGACCUACGGGUGAAAGCAGGGGAUCUUCGGACCUUGCGCGAUUGAAUGAGCCGAUGUCGGAUUAGCUAGUUGGCGGGGUAAAGGCCCACCAAGGCGACGAUCCGUAGCUGGUCUGAGAGGAUGAUCAGCCACACUGGAACUGAGACACGGUCCAGACUCCUACGGGAGGCAGCAGUGGGGAAUAUUGGACAAUGGGCGCAAGCCUGAUCCAGCCAUACCGCGUGGGUGAAGAAGGCCUUCGGGUUGUAAAGCCCUUUUGUUGGGAAAGAAAAGCAGCAGGUUAAUACCCCGCUGUUCUGACGGUACCCAAAGAAUAAGCACCGGCUAACUUCGU